rfam:Oryza barthii chromosome 2, whole genome shotgun sequence.
UUUAAGUGCAACGAUAAGUUUCUAUGCCCAACUUCGAUGGUUCAUUUUAUUUUUUUUAUAAUUAGUAUUUUUUUUAUUGUUAGAUGAUAAAACAUGAAUAGUAAUUUAUGUGUGACUAAUGUUUUAAUUUUUUUAAAAUAAGAAAGACGAUCAAAGUUGGCUACAGAAAAUCAUAGCAUCACCCGGG